CGGCGUAAAGGGUGGUCUGGGAAAAGAUAAAAUAAAGCUAAAGACCUACUAAGCCGUUACACGCACCCCGAAGGCACGAAAUCCUAAUACGAAAGUAGCUUUACCACCACCCCAGCACCACGAAAGCUAAGAAACAAACUGGGAUUAGAUACCCCACUAUG
rnacentral:rRNA from 1 species